rnacentral:rRNA from 1 species
GACGAACGCUGGCGGCGUGCCUAAUACAUGCAAGUAGAACGCUGAAGGAGGAGCUUGCUUCUCUGGAUGAGUUGCGAACGGGUGAGUAACGCGUAGGUAACCUGCCUGGUAGCGGGGGAUAACUAUUGGAAACGAUAGCUAAUACCGCAUAAGAGUAGAUGUUGCAUGACAUUUGCUUAAAAGUUGCAAUUGCAUCACUACCAGAUGGACCUGCGUUGUAUUAGCUAGUUGGUGGGGUAACGGCUCACCAAGGCGACGAUACAGAUCCGAGCUGAGGGGGUGAUCGGGCACACUUGGACUGAGACACGGCCCAGACUUCUACGGGAGGGAGCAGUAGGGAAUCUUCGGCAAUGGACGGAAGGCUGACCGAGCAACGCCGCGUGAGUGAAGAAGGUUUUCGGAUCGUAAAGCUCUGUUGUAAGAGAAGAAAGAGUGUGAGAGUGGAAAGUUCACACUGUGACGGUAUCUUAACAGAAAGGGACGGCUAACUACGUG